rnacentral:rRNA from 1 species
UACGUAGGGUGCAAGCGUUGCCCGGAAUUAUUGGGCGUAAAGAGCUCGUAGGCGGUGUGUCGCGUCGGCCGUGAAAACCUGCAGCUUAACUGUGGGCUUGCGGUCGAUACGGGCAUCACUGGAGUUCGGCAGGGGAGACUGGAAUUCCUGGUGUAGCGGUGAAAUGCGCAGAUAUCAGGAGGAACACCGGUGGCGAAGGCGGGUCUCUGGGCCGAUACUGACGCUGAGGAGCGAAAGCGUGGGGAGCGAACAGG